rnacentral:rRNA from 1 species
GACGAACGCUGGCGGCGUGCUUAACACAUGCAAGUCGAACGGUGAACUCCGCUUGCGGGGGGAUCAGUGGCGAACGGGAGAGUAACACGUGGGCAACCUGCCCUCAGCUCUGGGAUAAAUCCAAGAAAUUGGGGCUAAUACCGGAUAUGACCGCUGACCGCCUGGUCUGGUGGUGGAAAGAUUUAUCGGCUGGGGAUGGGCCCGCGGCCUCUCAGCUUGUUGGUGGGGUAGUGGCCUACCAAGGCGACGACGGGCAGCCGGCCUGGGAGGGGGACCGGCCACACUGGGACUGAGACACGGCCCAGACUCCUACGGGAGGCAGCAGUGGGGAAUAUUGCGCAAUGGGCGAAAGCCUGACGCAGCGACGCCGCGUGGGGGAUGACGGCCUUCGGUUUGUAAACCUCUUUCAGCAGGGACGAAGCGAAAGUGACGGUACCUGCAGAAGAAGCACCGGCCAACUACGUG